AAUUCUCAACCUCACCAGUUUUGUAACGAGACAGGUGAAGGCUUGGAUGUGGGGGUUUUGCAGGCUGCCUCAGUGCUGGUCUGCUCUCCUGAAAUGCAUUAGCGAGCUCAUAUUGAGCUUCCGUCUAUUGGUGUGAUAAUUAUCUACGCCGUGGAUUGGACUCAUGCUUGCUUCUAACCGUCCGCGAGGACAAUUUACUUUGACCA
rnacentral:misc_RNA from 1 species